ensembl:rRNA 5S_rRNA 5S ribosomal RNA
GUUUACGGCCAUACCAGCCUGGGUACGCCGAUCUCGUCUGAUCUCGGAAGCUAAGCAGGGUCGGGCCUGGUUAGUACUUGGAUGGGAGACCGCCUGGGAAUACCAGGUGCUGUAAGCU